rnacentral:rRNA from 1 species
GUAUAGGAGCUGACGCCUGCCCGGUGCUGGAAGGUUAAGGGGAUCUGUUAGAGCAAUCGAAGCAGUGAACUUAAGCCCCAGUAAACGGCGGCCGUAACUAUAACGGUCCUAAGGUAGCGAAAUUCCUUGUCGGGUAAGGUCCGACCCGCACGAAAGGCGUAACGAUUUGGGCACUGUCUCAACAACAGACUCGGUGAAAUUGUAAUUCCGGUGAAGAUGCCGGAUACCGGCGACAGGACGGAAAGACCCCAUGGAGCUUUACUGUAGCUUGACAUUGGGUCUUGGUACUACAUGUACAGGAUAGGUGGGAGGCUUUGAAACCAGGACGCCAGUUUUGGCGGAGCCAUCCUUGGGAUACCACCCUUGUAGUACUGGGACUCUAACCAUAGGCCAUGAAUCUGGUCUUG